AGCGUAGACGGUGUGGCAAGUCUGAUGUGAAAGGCAUGGGCUCAACCUGUGGACUGCAUUGGAAACUGUCAUACUUGAGUGCCGGAGGGGUAAGCGGAAUUCCUAGUGUAGCGGUGAAAUGCGUAGAUAUUAGGAGGAACACCAGUGGCGAAGGCGGCUUACUGGGCACCAACUGACGCUGAGGCACGAAAGCGUGGGAGCAAACA
rnacentral:rRNA from 1 species